CGGAGGAUGGAGGAGCAGGGAUUACAGGGGUAACCCAAUCCUGGUGCCCAGGAGGGGGGGCGGUGGGGGACCAGGAGCUACCCCCCAGCUGCUCAGGGACCCCAGUAGCUUCUGCCUACCCUGUCACGGGGCAGCGCCAAGGCCCGCUCAAUGCCUGCUUUGUGUAGCCUAGGAUAAUGAUUUACAAACUUGGGGAAUCAGGAGGUGCGAAAAGAAGACGACCCUCUUAACCCAGCCAUUGUCUCCCCCCUGCUGGAAUGCCCAGCACGCCGCCCGCCCGUGCACCUGUGCACACGGAUGCUAUUUGAGGAUGGUCCAGUAAGAGUGCCUCCAUCCGAGCAGAGAGAGCAAGAGAUGUGUGCAGAAUCAAGCAGCUUACAGAGGCCGUGAGACCAAUCCUCAGACCUCAAACCAAGAACUUUCAUCUGCUAGAGCUGGAGUCCUCUUGUACAGGGGAAGACAUGCCCUGCAGAAGACAGGCAGACAAACAGACAGAUCCCUGACCUGACAGCCCGAACCCUAGAGGAGGACAACUUCAGGCUGAAGUCCUUCUCUUCAUUCCUUCAAAAUCCAGCACAGUCCCCUGCACCCAGCAGGUGCCAAAUAAUAAUUUGUGAUCUGCUGGCUUUAGAGUUAGAAGUGAAAUAAAUGAGUUUCCUGCCUGAGA